UCCGAAACACGCUGUUGUCGGUCCUCUCGCCUCCAUGAUCUGUCCGACUCGGCCGCAACGAACGGCAAGGCCACCUCCUUCCAUAUGACGCACGAGGUGUUGCAAGUAAGGAUACAAAGCAGUCUACCACCGGUGAGCUUCCAUGAUAUGGAUUAAACACCUUUUAGAAAUAGCAAUCUGAUGUGGAUAUCUUCAGGAAUCAAGAAGCGAAUGAGAUAAGGCAAGUGGACUUCUCAUUUGGUCACUUGAUA